UGAGGAAUAUUGGUCAAUGGGCGAGAGCCUGAACCAGCCACGUCGCGUGAAGGAAGACUGACCUUACGGUUUGUAAACUUCUUUUGUAGAGGGGUAAUGGCAGAUACGUGUAUUUGCGUGAAAGUACUCUACGAAUAAGCAUCGGCUAACUCCGUGCCAGCAGCCGCGGUAAUACGGGGGAUGCGAGCGUUAUCCGGAAUUAUUGGGUUUAAAGGGUGCGCAGGUGGCUAAUCAGGUCAGUGGUGAAAAGCUAUGGCUCAACCAUGGUCUUGCCAUUGAAACCGUAUAGCUAGAGAGGAGACGAGGUAGGCGGAAUGUGUGGUGUAGCGGUGAAAUGCAUAGAUAUCACACAGAACUCCGAUUGCGAAGGCAGCUUACCAGGCUUUAUCUGACACUUAGGAACGAAAGCGUGGGUAGCAAACAGG
rnacentral:rRNA from 1 species